rnacentral:rRNA from 1 species
CCUACGGGUGGCAGCAGUGAGGAAUAUUGGUCAAUGGACGAGAGUCUGAACCAGCCAAGUAGCGUGAAGGAUGACUGCCCUAUGGGUUGUAAACUUCUUUUAUAUGAGAAUAAAAUGUUCCACGUGUGGGAUUUUGUAUGUACCAUAUGAAUAAGGAUCGGCUAACUCCGUUCCAGCAGCCGCGGUCAUACGGAGGAUCCGAGCGUUAUCCGGAUUUAUUGGGUUUAAUGAGUGCGUAGGUGGAUUGUUAAGUCAGUUGUGAAAGUUUGCGGCUCAACCGUAACAUUGCAGUUGAUACUGGCAGUCUUGAGUACAGUAGAGGUGGGCGGAAUUCGUGGUGUAGCGGUGAAAUGCUUAGAUAUCACGAAGAACUCCGAUUGCGAAGGCAGUUCACUGGACUGCAACUGACACUGAGGCUCGAAAGUGUGGGUAUCAAACAGGAUUAGAUACCCUAGUAGUC